UCCAUUUCCAAAACUCUAUUACCUUGUAUAAUAGUAUUCAAAAGAAUUGAAUGCAGGAAAUUGUCUAUUACUUUUUAUUAGUAGAAGCUGUUAUGUAGGAUACAGCCUGCUGCACUGUUUUUUCUUUGUUCCUUUAAUUAACAAGAGCAUGAAAUCCUUCUAUUGGCAAGCACUUGUUCCAAAGCUUCUGUUGCCUUCUGUUUUUACUGAAAAGGGAUAUUCUCUCCUGAAAUCGGAAGGUUAUGGAGUCCUGUCCUUGCUGGCGAUAGUUUCAAGAGACACUUUUGUGGUGUUUUAAGAGAAGAAAGUCCUCAGAUCUAAUGCCUGGUGCAGAGCCGGACUCAAGCUUCCUUAAACAUAAAUGUGAGAUCUUUGUUUCAGCUUUGACCAGCAGAUGGGCCUGAGUUUACAAAGUUGAUUUAAGUCAGUUUAGAUUCCAUGUUCUUAUCUGGUACUCUAUUGCUAAUUAUAAUCAAUUAGAAAUAGGAGCUUUCUGGGACUUGAUUUAGACCUACAGGUUUGGGGUUUUUUUCUACGUCGUUUUCCAUAGUGGAGAUGAUAAAAGCAUGCUGCUUUUUCUCAUUCCACUUCUUCACUGAAGCUGCUUAAGAAAAUGAGAUACAACAAAUCCAUUUAGGAUUAUGUUGAAAAAGCAUCUCUGCUUUUAAUAUUAACCAGAUUUUUACUGCUAAGUUUUGCUGGCAAAUCUCUGAAAGUUUCAGCUUGCAACUUAUCCGGAUCAUUUAAAUCUACAAUGCUGGCUUUGCAGUCUUGCAAGAACAUCUGUUUUGAUUUCCAAAGCUAUCUUUUUUAGUCCUAGAGCACUCUUCUUUAGUGUUGUAGAUUUUUUUCAGAAUCUUAAAGGGCCUUAGUUUUAGCUCCAAAACAUAAUGAAAAUCAGGAGGAAGUACCUGAGUGUAAUGUUUCUUGUGCUGGUAAUUUCACUGAAUUUAUUCAGUCUAAAUGGACAAAGAAACAGCUGGAUGUUUCUUUUCUAUGACUUUAGUGAAACCUAACAAUACAGAACUGUUGUGUGCUACGUCUCUUAUCGUGCUCUUAUUGAGGCAUAGUUUGCAUGUGUAUAUAUCUUUAUGUUUAUUAAUUAAUGACUAUUAAUGUGUCUAGUAACAUGCUGUUGCUUUUAUUUGAUGGUAGAUGGAUGUAUUUGGUUGGGGAAGUAUUCAUCUGAAUCUAAACUUUUAAAAAUUAUUUUAUCAUUUUCAAAAUUAAAUGCCUGGAAAAUGCUGAUGUAUUGCAACCAGACAGUGACUAUCAUGUAGAGAAAGGACCAGUUACAUAUCUGUUCCUCAAAUUAAUUCAGCAUUCAAAAUGCAAGAAUUAAUAAUGAUAUUGUGUAUGCCUGCAAAUGGAAACCAGAUUAUGAUUUUGAUAACUCUGCUUAUCACUGAAGCUUGGAACAAGUGCUCCAACUGGAAAAAUAGCUCACUAGCUGCUAACUUGUGUUCUCAAAAGCUUCACAGUUUAGCAGAAAAGUGUUGAUUACUUGGCAUUCAAUAUAAGUUCCAAAUAACUAUUCCUUAAUCAUGCUUUUUUUACACCUCAGAUAAUUUAUACACAUUAAUUUCUUAGUUCAUGUACGCAUAGAGGUCAUCACUCUACUGGCUAAAACCUUUAUCCUCUGACACACCUCUCAUGUAUAUUAAAACAAAUGCCAUACUAUUGUUAAUAGGAUUAUAUCCCAACCUUCUAUCAAAUUGUUUACCAACAUAAAUCUGUCACUUUUUGUAUACGCAUUCCCACCUAAAAAAUAAUGAUGUCUUUAUUCCGUAGUUCACUCCAGCUUGAUGUGUAGUGCUCUAAAUCUCAACGGCAUUUCUGGGUAAAAAGCAAGUUAUUAUAUGCAUUGUUUCACUUGUACAUUUAUUAACAGAACUUCUAGUUAAAUUCUAAUUGAAUUUGUCUUGUCAUACUUGCACUGUAACAUGCUUUGAAUGUCUUAUGAUUUUUUUUU